AGUCGCAUGGCUCAGUUGGUUAGAGUGUCCGCUUCACAAAUCACAUCCGGAUUUUGAAGCCGCGGAAGGUCGAGGGUUCGAUCCCCUCUGUGACUA
rfam:Cryptococcus amylolentus CBS 6039 supercont1.4, whole genome shotgun sequence.